rnacentral:rRNA from 1 species
AGUGAACGCUGGCGGUAGGCCUAACACAUGCAAGUCGAACGGCAGCACAGUAAGAGCUUGCUCUUACGGGUGGCGAGUGGCGGACGGGUGAGGAAUACAUCGGAAUCUACUUUUUCGUGGGGGAUAACGUAGGGAAACUUACGCUAAUACCGCAUACGACCUACGGGUGAAAGCAGGGGAUCUUCGGACCUUGCGCGUUUGAAUGAGCCGAUGUCGGAUUAGCUAGUUGGCGGGGUAAAGGCCCACCAAGGCGACGACCCGUAGCUGGUCUGAGAGGAUGAUCAGCCACACUGGAACUGAGACACGGUCCAGACUCCUACGGGAGGCAGCAGUGGGGAAUAUUGGGCAAUGGGCGCAAGCCUGAUCCAGCCAUACCGCGUGAGUGAAGAAGGCCUUCGGGUUGUAAAGCCCUUUUGUUGGGAAAGAAAAGCAGCAGGUUAAUACCCCGCUGUUCUGACGGUACCCAAAGAAUAAGCACCGGCUAACUUCGUG